GGUGGAGCAGCAUGAUGAGUGCUGAGAUUGUACUUCAGGUAGUGGUGGAGCAGCAUGAUGAGUGCUGAGAUCGUACUUCAGGUAGUGGUGGAGCAGCAUGAUGAGUGCUGAGAUUGUACUUCAGGUAGUGGUGGAGCAGCAUGAUGAGUGCUGAGAUUGUACUUCAGGUAGGUAGUAGUGGAGCAGCAUGAUGAGUGCUGAGAUUGUACUUCAGGUAGAUAGUGGUGGAGAAACAUGAUGAGUGCUGAGAUUGUACUUCAGGUAUGUAGUGUUGGACCAUCAUGAUGAACACAUAUAUAUUAUAUGGCAGAUGUUUGAUUACAAAAUUUCGCAUCUUUGAAGAAUUGAAUUAUGAAAGAAACUUUUAAUGACCUACUAUUAAACUUGGUCAGAUUGCCCUUCAUACAAAUGACAUCAUGAAUCCUAGCUGGAAUUGUGGAAUACAAUUUGCGAAUAAACUCUAAACCAUCAACAGGAGCAUUGUUAUACUAGAAGAUGUGUGUUUUGUUGAUGAAAUGCCAUGCAAAAACAGCCCAGAGAUUAUUUUCAAGCAUGUCAAUAUAUAUAUAUUACACCAUUUAUAUUGCCUUUGAUCGCUGUCAGUAUUCUGACACCUUUACAACAUAUGCACCCCUACCUGGACUGCACCACAACAGAAACCUUCCUUUUCAAGGGUAGGCACACUAUGUUGGGACUGUUGAUUUCAUUGUCCUUUCUUCAAUGAAAACAUAAACGUUCCGCAGUGGUCAAUAACUGUCCAUCAGUUUCUUUCCCUACAUCAUUUUACAAGUUUUUGUUAGUUUACAUCAUGCACCAACAUCAUAUUCUUCGUCUGCAAUAUCCAAUUCUUUUCAGUUUUCUCUGGUCAGUCUUAUCACAAAACAUUACCUCUUUUCCUCAUUAAUUAUGUUGGUAAUUUUUUGUUAAGUUGCCUUUCUGUUCUUUUUCAUGACCCGUGAAUGUUCCAUCUCAUCUGUG
rnacentral:lncRNA from 1 species